AUUGAACGCUGGCGGCAUGCCUUACACAUGCAAGUCGAACGGUAACAGGUCUUCGGAUGCUGACGAGUGGCGAACGGGUGAGUAAUACAUCGGAACGUGCCCGAUCGUGGGGGAUAACGAAGCGAAAGCUUUGCUAAUACCGCAUAAGAUCUACGGAUGAAAGCAGGGGACCGCAAGGCCUUGCGCGAACGGAGCGGCCGAUGGCAGAUUAGGUAGUUGGUGGGAUAAAAGCUUACCAAGCCGACGAUCUGUAGCUGGUCUGAGAGGACGACCAGCCACAAUGGGACUGAGACACGGCCCAGACUCCUACGGGAGGCAGCAGUGGGGAAUUUUGGACAAUGGGCGAAAGCCUGAUCCAGCCAUGCCGCGUGCAGGAUGAAGGCCUUCGGGUUGUAAACUGCUUUUGUACGGAACGAAAAGACUCUGGUUAAUACCUGGGGUCCAUGACGGUACCGUAAGAAUAAGCACCGGCUAACUACGUG
rnacentral:rRNA from 1 species